ACCGAAGAAAAAAUGCUGCUCCAUAGAAAUCAUUAACAUAUAUUAUGAUUCGCCGAAAUGUAUGAAAUAGCAGAAUGUUUUAUUUGCGUUUUCGGUGUUGGCCCAAUAGUAAAAGUGUAGAUAUUUCCUUUAAAUACUACACUAAACCCAGAACCUAUGCCCUGAAUUUCAAUCAAUCAAUCAAUCAUCAAUUAUUGCACCAUGGUAAAAAUCAAAAGUUGUUACAGUAUUUAUACAAGUACCUAAUGGACCCUAAAAGGAUAUGACAAACUUUUCCUUAAACUAAGAUAUAUAAACUAUUUACAUAUGUCAUGCAAUAAAGCACAUAAGGCAGCAUCGUAUGCAAUGAUAUAUCUAAAUAAAACUAAGUACCUAUGUUACAUAAUAAAGCUAUCUGCGAAGAAAUCUUUAAAAGAGUAAUACACUUUUCUCACAAGGAAACAUUUCAAUUUUUUUGCGUAUCCUGUAUCCCUUUCUUCAGCCUUCAUAUAGUCUGGAAUAUGAUUGUAGCAUUUAGCUGCUGCAUAAAGAGGGUUUUUCCUAUGUAUUUGUAAUUUAGGCGCGGGUAGCUCAAGUUUGUAUUUUAACCUUCGGUUUGGUAGCUGUCUGAACAAGUGUAUGUUUUUACAACUUAAGGUGGCCUGCAUUCUCUGUCCUACACCAACGAAUAGCUGUUGAUGCCCGGAUCCAGUACUAAUAAGGAUAGCAUAGCCAACUAACUCUUUACUCUCUAACAGGUAGAUACUAUCAAAAAGAGCAUUUGACAUUCUCUUUGGUGCUAUUUCCCGGGGCGAACUCUCCGGUUAAAAAAGAUCGUAAAAUCGUGUCGUUACCGUGGAUGACCAUAUAAAAUAAAGUAUAAAAGCGCCUGAUGUGGAGAGGUUUAAGCGCUUCACACAAUUCACUUCAUUCUGAAAUUCUUAUUCAUAAAAUUUUACAAGCAUAAUUUAGUUAAUUCGUGUUUCAUCAAAUACAUACAAUUGAGGCUUGUGGCGCAUUUAUGAAUAACACCAUUAGCCAUACGUGUAACCGUAUUUAGAACAUUUUAGCAUUGUAGUCUGACUGGUGACUGCACUAACUAGGAACAUAUAAUUUUAUUAUCCUAGUUAGGUUGCCAUUAGUAUUAGUACUACUGAAUUAGGCUACGGAGACUGCUUACCAUCAGGCGGGCCGUAUCAGCCGUAUGCUUGUUUGCCACCGACGUAGUAUAAAAAAAAUAAACCCUUUGUAUGCAAUCAUAUAUGGCAGUUAUAAUAUUCAACUCUAUUGAGAGAUAUUAAAGUUCAAGUUUAAACAAAAUAUUUUUUAUGUCAUGCGUUAAGGGGGGGUGUGUGAAGCGCGUUAAAUAAGAUCAAUAACUACGGCCCGUUCGGAUAUCGCCUCGGGUUGUUAGAUUUGAUUAUAGAUUAUUUAAUUAUAAAGUAGAAUAAAAUUAGGUGCGAAAAAUAUCUUAAUUUACCCUUAUGUAGAAAAUAUUGAAGACAGUGUAUUAUUCCUAAUUUCGUUUUGAACUGCAAAAAAAAUGCACGACGGUGAAAUAUCUGGCAAUAUCAAAUCGGUCAUAUAUUUAAUAAAUGACAAAUGUUUGACAGUUGGGUGUGCAACUGUGCAUGGUGAACGGCUUUCUCGGUAAUAAAUAAAUAUGUUUGAAUGCCGGCUCGGUAAAACUAUAAAAAUACCAAACCAUCACUGAAAAUAACACCGGAUAAUGUUUUAAUCGCAUUGAUCAGAUUGUAACUAGUAUUAUGUGUAUAUUAAGGAACCUUAACAGGAAUUUAAAAGAUCCAGGCGCUAAAAAAAUCCUAAAGUUUGUAAGCGUACUUUGCGCAUCUAGUUUACCGUUUAUCUUCACUUUAAGUGGCGAUUUCGUUUUCGAUGAUUCUGAAGCCAUUAUCAAAAAUGAAGCCGUGACAUCUGAAUCCUGGCUUGAGUCGUUUUACACUGACUUUUGGGGCACAAACAUCACAAGUAAUCUAAGCCAUAAAUCUUACCGGCCUCUCACGGUGUGGUCUUUCAGGCUGAACUAUCAAUUGGGUCAGAAAAAACUUUCUGCAGUGGAAUUUAAGGCAACAAAUCUCGUCUGCCACAUUGUUAGCUGUCUACUUCUUUGGUUGACGUUAAGGAGUAUUUUAGGAAGAUUAAAAAAACACAAAUGCAAAAAAUGCAUAGAUGUUGGUUGGGUAACAACACUGGUAUUUGCAGUGCACCCUGUGCAUGUGGAAGCAGUCAGUGGCGCCGUGGGACGGGCUGACGUUCUCGCCGCCAUAGCCUUCUUCUUAGCAUUCCUAUUUUACAACCAAGCUAUUUACAAGAAAAGACUGCAUUAUUUUUACCUGACAGCCACAAUAUUACUGGCUACAAUGUCCAUGCUUUUUAAAGAAAAUGGCAUCACAGUUCUGGGUGUCUGCCUUUGUUAUGACUUUAUAAUCAUAUGCAAAGAAGACAAUAGAUCAAGAUCAAGGAAGAGAAAACAGUUUUAUGAUGACAUUCAAUUAUUACCCAGUGCAGAGGUAAUCAUAAGAAUCACAGUAAUAGUGUUAGCCAUAAUGCUGCUCUUGUAUGGCAGAUGGAUUAUAAUGGGAGGAGCACCACCAAAUUUUAAAGCAACAGACAAUCCGGCAUCCUUUAGUGACAGCAAAAUUACAAAGAUAUUCACAUUCAGUUACCUGUAUGUGCUAAAUAUCCUUCUGUUGAUUUGGCCACAGUGGCUCUGCUACGACUGGUCAAUGGGAUGUGUCCCUCUCCUCGAACACAUCUUAGAUGUCAGACUUGUUUUUGUACUGGCUAUGUAUUUUUAUGGGGCAGUUGUUGUGAUAACAUUCUUCAAAGCAAGAAAAAAACGAGAUAAAUGGAUUAAAUUAAUGGCUCUGCUGUUAAUGGGACUGCCAUUCUUGCCUGCUGCCAAUAUAUUCUACCCCGUUGGAUUUGUCAUAGCUGAACGAGUCCUGUACAUACCUUCAGCUGGGUAUUGCUUCUACAUGGUCUUUGGAUUGAAUAAAAUAUGCCAUACCAAACUAGUUGCCAAAAAGAUGGCAUCCAUUCCUUAUUAUGCAGUCAUUUUACUAAUAUGCAUUUUUGCAUUAAAAAGUUAUGAAAGGUCUUAUGACUGGCAAAACGAGCAUGCAUUAUUCCUGAGUGGUACAGAAGUGUGCCCUUUGAAUGCUAAAGUCCAUUAUAAUGUUGCAAAAGCAGCUGAUGCUAAACACCAAUAUGACUUUGCUUUGAUGGAGUAUAAAGAGGCGAUAAGGUUGUAUCCGGAGUAUUACCAAGCCAUGAACAAUCUAGCCAAUUUACUUAAAAACCAAAAGAUGUACUCAGAAGCUGAAUACUAUCUACGAAAAGCUAUUGAGCACAAGUACAGCUUUCCGGCAGCGUGGAUGAACCUAGGCAUAGUCCUGGCGAGCACCGGGAGGUACGAUCAGGCGCAGGAGGCCUACGCGAAUGCGCUGAGGUACCGCAACAACUACCCGGAUUGCCUUUACAACUUGGGGAAUCUGUAUCUCGACACAAAGAAAACUGCUCACGCACUAGAAAGUUGGCUGCAUGCAAUAAAACUGAAACCUGGACAUAGACUUGCAUGGACGAACAUACUUGCGCUCUUGGAUAACACAGGCCAAUUUGAUAGAGCACUCCAAAUAAUACCCCUUGCUCUCGCGUCGGUCCCUGAAGCGCCGUCGGUCCAUUUCGCUACCGCGAACAUCUUCGGCAAGAUGGGACGGUACGAAAUAGCCGAAAAACACUUUCUCAAAGCCAUUGAUCUGUUUGGGCCAAGAGUGCAGGCAAUACAUUAUGCUAACCUAGGCGUACUAUAUCAUCGAUGGAAGAAGUACAGUGACGCCGAACGAAUGUACAAACGUGCAUUGAAAAUUCAAUCUAAUUUUAAAAGUGCUCAGAAAAAUCUUCACACUCUGAAACGGUUGAAUUUGAUAACAUAAACGUUAAUCUUUUUUUUGCUUAGCUUUAUUGAUUCUGCUGAGUAUCAUGAUAUGUAAACUUUUGAAAACAAGGGUACCUCCCUUACACGUAAAGUGAGGGUGAACAAUUUUUUUUGCUUCAACCCUACAGUGUGGGAUAUCGUUGGAAAGGUCUUUCAAAACUAAUAGGGGUCUUCAACAAACAUUUCUUGAUAAAGUGAAUAUAUUCGGAGAUAAUUGCUCCGAAAGAAACAAAAAUAUAUGUGUCCCCCCCCCCCUCUAACUUUUGAACCAUAG